UGGGGAGCGGCCUGGAUUUCUCGGGCGUGGGCGCUGUGUUCCCAGCGGACUGUGACGAGCACCAGGUUACAAGCUUUGACCGCAAUCACUAGUCUUGAAGAUUGAUAUUCUUCAAUUCUACUCCAAAACUGCAAGGCGUAAUCAGCAGUGAUAUCUCCCUCGUCGAAGAACCAUGUCGAUCUACUGUGCUACUGAGCGAGGAAGAAGGAGCGAUGAUGAGGGCGCGUGGACCUGGAGGUACUAGUCGGCGCUCUCUUGGGUGGGUGUUGGGCGCGCGUGUACCUGUAGGUGCGGUCGGCCUCCAGGAAGUGUAGCUGGGCGACCUGGAGCUUCCGACGAGCUGGGCCACGCGCGCGACGUGGAUGGAUUCCGGCGACCCAUGCGGAAUGAUUCCGGGGACGUGGCGUGGAUCGACUCUGGCGAUGUGCGUGGAACGAUUGACGAGCUAGGCGACGCCCACGGCGUGAAUGGAUUCCAGCAACACACGUGGAUCGAUUAGCGAGCAGGACCGGCCAAGCGCGGAGGAGGAGCUGGCCGGUGGAGGAGGGUCGAUUCCGGUGGGAGCUGGCCGGUGGACGGCGGAGGGAUGACGCUGGUGCGAACGCGAGAUUCCAGUUUUAGAUAGGGUUAUUGAUGUCUUUCACAGUGUUUUCACCUGGUCGGAACAUUUGUUUAACGUUUUACAAGUAUCUGUAUUACAAAGUAUUACUAAUCACACUCCAAUCUUGCAGUUUUAAAUUUGUCCCCGGUUUCAAUAUAAUUGCUAAAUUAUUUCAGCAUGUA